UACGGAGGGUGCGAGCGUUGUCCGGAAUCACUGGGUUUAAAGGGUGUGUAGGCGGGUAUUUAAGUCAGUGGUGAAAUCUCCAGGCUCAACCUGGAGACUGCCAUUGAUACUAUAUAUCUCGAAUUUUGUUGAGGUAGGCGGAAUAUGUCAUGUAGCGGUGAAAUGCAUAGAUAUGACAUAGAACACCAAUUGCGAAGGCAGCUUACUAAGCAAAUAUUGACGCUGAGGCACGAAAGCGUGGGGAUCAAACAGG
rnacentral:rRNA from 1 species